GACAGGUUGAUAUCCCACAAGUGUGAUAGUCUUGGAGUUACACUGUGAUGUACUAUGCUCCUUUAUGAAGCUCCAAAGAUUUAUAUCUUUUUUUUCUUUUUUUAAAUUUCAGGUCAAGGCAAUCCAAACCCUCCAAAAACACCAGAAUCACGAGCAGCUCCAGGUCCACAAUGUUCCUACACGGUCUCAACCAUCAACUUUGGCUUCCAGAUUGACAUAACAAGCUCCAUCCCUGGUAACUACACCAUAAGUGCUACUGAAACGGCCCAUCCUCAGAUAAGAAAGGGAAAAGUCGUUAAGCAUUCCAACGGAACCUCAUCACAUGAACUCAAAUUCCUGAAGCCGUGUACUGAGUACAAGCAUGCCGUGGUGUUCAGUGACGGUGCUGGCAAUAAAACAAUUUGUGACUCCCCUCAGAACAAAACUACUGAACGCACAAGUGAAAUGAAGGAAGGAGACGUUAAAGAUGGUCGCUGUCCUAUCUCAGGAUACGUUUGUUACAGGAGUGGUUGGAACCUCGGCUCUUCAAUUUCAGCAUCUAAUAAUGUUCCAGCUGAGCAAUGUUCCAGUGACCCACAAGAGUUCUGCAUCAAACCUGGUAGAGAUGAUAUCUGCACAACUUUGACUACAACCUUCAAGUCAGGAAACUGUA